rnacentral:lncRNA from 1 species
CACAUUUUGGCUUCAUUAGUGCGACGACGCGACAGUUACCGGACGCGUAUCCCUUGAAAUAAUUAAGUUACCUUGUGUCGCUUUAUUUCACUUUCAAUAUCGUUUAAAUAUUUAAAAUUAGCCUUAGAAAAGUAGAAGAAUAUUUGUUCAAAUGUUAACUGUUUGCCACAUGCGAAAAAAUCAAGAAAAUCGCCUAUUCAGGAGUUCAACCAAAAUAUUAUGAAGGUAAUGGAAGAUUCCAGAAGAAAAAUAUAGAAAUGGCCGCCAUGUUGAGUCGGGCCACCAUUUGAUGUUUCUAUGACGCCUGUAACCGCGGCCGUAGUCCACCCACGACGACAUAUACUGAUACAGCCUGCGCUAAGGAGGACUCCGCUGAGGCGGUGACGACUUCUCGUGAUGGAGCCCUGGGCGCCCCAUUUACAGAUGCUGUGCAUUCUGCCUUCGCGGUCGCUGCUUCAUAUUGUGAAUAAGAAAUAAAUGUUAUAUAAUAAAUUA